UGANGGAAAGUUGAAAAGUACUCUGAAGAGAGAGUAAACAGUACGUGAAACCGCAUGCAGGUAAACGGGUGGCGUCAAGCUGCAAGCUCAGAGGAUUCAGCCGGUUAGGAUGUUGUGUAUGCGCCUGGCGCAUCUAUCAGUCGGAGUAUGAUUGGAUAGUCCACUGGCAAACGGUGGGCCCGGCCGCAAGGUUGGGAUAUGUGUACCGGGUGGGUGCCGGAGCAUGCUAUCCGUCUAUGGACUGUCUAGCCGGUGCACUUUCUCUGUGCUGACACCACGACCGGUGGUAUUGCCAGUCUGCUGUGUCCAAGUCGUAUUCGGUCGGUCCUUGUGGCCAACUGGGUGCGAUCACAGGCAAACUCAGUAUACGGCGCAGAGGGGUUUCGGCUUCUUUGCGUGUUAUCGGCUACUGGUUGUCAACGGGCUGCCUAGUGUUUGUUGUAACCGACACUCGGGUGGUCUGGUGGGGCAUGGUGGUAAGAAUAACUGUGCAAGGCACCGGAGUUAUCGGCCUCAAAUGCACUCUGCGCCCAUGUUACAAGUGGUGUAUGGCGGCGCCGUUGCUGCCUGCUCGGUGUUGGGUCUGAUUGUCGUGUCGCCUGCGCAAAGUAGGCCCGGCAGUGGCUCGGCUCGAGGUGGGUAGUGGAUGGCGUUGUCUGUGUGGAGUGUGGUGGGCCUAAUAGUCAGUGGUGUAGUGUAGACGAGCUACCCGACCCGUCUUGAACA
rnacentral:rRNA from 1 species